rnacentral:rRNA from 1 species
AUACUGCAAGUCGAGCGGACAGAAGGGAGCUUGCUCCCGGAUGUUAGCGGCGGACGGGUGAGUAACACGUGGGUAACCUGCCUGUAAGACUGGGAUAACUCCGGGAAACCGGAGCUAAUACCGGAUAGUUCCUUGAACCGCAUGGUUCAAGGAUGAAAGACGGUUUCGGCUGUCACUUACAGAUGGACCCGCGGCGCAUUAGCUAGUUGGUGAGGUAACGGCUCACCAAGGCGACGAUGCGUAGCCGACCUGAGAGGGUGAUCGGCCACACUGGGACUGAGACACGGCCCAGACUCCUACGGGAGGCAGCAGUAGGGAAUCUUCCGCAAUGGACGAAAGUCUGACGGAGCAACGCCGCGUGAGUGAUGAAGGUUUUCGGAUCGUAAAGCUCUGUUGUUAGGGAAGAACAAGUGCAAGAGUAACUGCUUGCACCUUGACGGUACCUAACCAGAAAGCCACGGCUAACUACGUGCCAGCAGCCGCGGUAAUACGUAGGUGGCAAGCGUUGUCCGGAAUUAUUGGGCGUAAAGGGCUCGCAGGCGGUUUCUUAAGUCUGAUGUGAAAGCCCCCGGCUCAACCGGGGAGGGUCAUUGGAAACUGGGAAACUUGAGUGCAGAAGAGGAGAGUGGAAUUCCACGUGUAGCGGUGAAAUGCGUAGAGAUGUGGAGGAACACCAGUGGCGAAGGCGACUCUCUGGUCUGUAACUGACGCUGAGGAGCGAAAGCGUGGGGAGCGAACAGGAUUAGAUACCCUGGUAGUCCACGCCGUAAACGAUGAGUGCUAAGUGUUAGGGGGUUUCCGCCCCUUAGUGCUGCAGCUAACGCAUUAAGCACUCCGCCUGGGGAGUACGGUCGCAAGACUGAAACUCAAAGGAAUUGACGGGGGCCCGCACAAGCGGUGGAGCAUGUGGUUUAAUUCGAAGCAACGCGAAGAACCUUACCAGGUCUUGACAUCCUCUGACAACCCUAGAGAUAGGGCUUUCCCUUCGGGGACAGAGUGACAGGUGGUGCAUGGUUGUCGUCAGCUCGUGUCGUGAGAUGUUGGGUUAAGUCCCGCAACGAGCGCACCCUUGAUCUUAUUUGCCACCAUCCAUUG